rnacentral:rRNA from 1 species
CCUACGGGUGGCAGCAGUGAGGAAUAUUGGUCAAUGGACGGGAGUCUGAACCAGCCAAGCCGCGUGCGGGAGGACGGCUCUAUGAGUUGUAAACCUCUUUUGUCCGGGGGCAAACACCGGGACGCGUAUCUGUCUGAGAGUAUCUUAAGAAUAAGCAUCGGCUAACUCCGUGCCAGCAGCCGCGGUAAUACGGAGGAUUCAAGCGUUAUCCGGAUUUAUUGGGUUUAAAGGGUGCGCAGGCGGGAGAUCAAGUCAGCGGUAAAAUGGCGGGGCUCAACCCCGGCCGGCCGUUGAAACUGGUUUUCUAGAGUGGGCGAGAAGUAUGCGGAAUUCGUGGUGUAGCGGUGAAAUGCAUAGAUAUCACGAAGAACUCCGAUUGCGAAGGCAGCAUACCGGCUCCAUACUGACGCUGAGGCACGAAAGCGUGGGGAUCGAACAGGAUUAGAUACCCUGGUAGUC